rnacentral:rRNA from 1 species
UACCAGCACCCCGAGUGGUCGGGACGAUUAUUGGGCCUAAAGCAUCCGUAGCCGGUCCUACAAGUCUUCCGUUAAAUCCACCUGCUUAACAGAUGGGCUGCGGAAGAUACUAUAGGGCUAGGAGGCGGGAGAGGCAAGGCGGUACUCAGUGGGUAGGGGUAAAAUCCUCUGAUCCAUUGAAGACCACCAGUGGCGAAGGCGGCUUGCCAGAACGCGCUCGACGGUGAGGGAUGAAAGCUGGGAGGCAAACCGG